ensembl:snRNA U6 U6 spliceosomal RNA
GUGCUCGCUUUGGCAGCACAUAUACUAAAAUUGAAACGAUACAGAGAAGAUUAGCAUGGGCCCUGCACAAGGAUGACAUGCAAAUUCAUGAAGCGUUCCAUAUUUUU